CAUUGAAGAGCUUGCUCGGAUAUGAAAUGGAUGGCGCUGGAUAGCGGCAAACGGGUGAGUAACACGUGAGCAAUUUUCCCAUCAGCCAGACAUAGCUUCGUGAAAACGGAGGUAAUAUCUGAUGGUACCAUGAUGUCAUAAGGCGUUAUGGUUAAAGGCGGGGACCGCAAGGCCCGCCACUGAUGGAUGAGCUCGCGGCCUAUCAGCUAGUUGGUAGGGUAACGGCCUACCAAGGCGAAGACGGGUAGCUAGUCUGAGAGGAUGUUUAGCCACACUGGGACUGAGACACUGCCCAGACUCCUACGGGGGGCUGCAGUCGAGAAUAUUUAGCAAUGGGCGCAAGCCUGACUAUGCGACGCCGCGUGAGGGAUGAAGGUUUUCGGAUCGUAAACCUCUUUUGUCAGGAAAGAAUAUCCGCCACUAAAUAGGUGUCGGAUUGACGGUACCUGACGAAUAAGCCACGGCCAACUCCGUGCCAGCAGCCGCGGUAAUACGGAGGUG
rnacentral:rRNA from 1 species